CUGUUGCCUCGGCGGGAUCUCUGCCCCGGGUGCGUCGCAGCCCCGGACCAAGGCGCCCGCCGGAGGACCAACCUAAAACUCUUAUUGUAUACCCCUCGCGGGUUGUUUAUAAUCUGAGCCUUCUCGGCGCCUCUCGUAGGCGUUUCGAAAAUGAAUCAAAACUUUCAACAACGGAUCUCUUGGUUCUGGCAUCGAUGAAGAACGCAGCGAAAUGCGAUAAGUAAUGUGAAUUGCAGAAUUCAGUGAAUCAUCGAAUCUUUGAACGCACAUUGCGCCCGCCAGUAUUCUGGCGGGCAUGCCUGUCCGAGCGUCAUUUCAACCCUCGAACCCCUCCGGGGGGUCGGCGUUGGGGAUCGGCCUCCUCUCACGGGGGCCGUCUCCGAAAUACAGUGGCGGUCUCGCCGCAGCCUCUCCUGCGCAGUAGUUUGCACACUCGCAUCGGGAGCGCGGCGCGUCCACAGCCGUUAAACACCCCAAACUUCUGAAAUGUUGACCUCGGAUCAGGUAGGAAUACCCGCUGAACUUAAGCAUAUCAAUAA
rnacentral:rRNA from 1 species